rnacentral:rRNA from 1 species
GUAAAUGCUUGUUUGUUUUAGGUUGGGGUGACCGCGGAGUAAAAAUUAACCUCCACGAAAAAGGGCAUAAAAGCCUUAUCAAAGAAUUACACUUCUAUGAAUUAGUAAACUAAUUUUUGAUGAUCCGAUAUUCGAUCAACGAACCAAGUUACCCUGGGGAUAACAGCGCAAUCCACCUCAAGAGCUCCUAUCGACAAGUGGGUUUACGACCUCGAUGUUGGAUCAGGGUACCCCAGUGGUGCAGCAGCUACUAAAGGUUCGUUUGUUCAACGAUUAA